UGGGGAAUAUUGCGCAAUGGGGGGAACCCUGACGCAGCCAUGCCGCGUGAAUGAAGAAGGCCUUCGGGUUGUAAAGUUCUUUCGGUAUUGAGGAAGGUUGAUGUGUUAAUAGCACAUCAAAUUGACGUUAAAUACAGAAGAAGCACCGGCUAACUCCGUGCCAGCAGCCGCGGUAAUACGGAGGGUGCGAGCGUUAAUCGGAAUAACUGGGCGUAAAGGGCACGCAGGCGGUUAUUUAAGUGAGGUGUGAAAGCCCUGGGCUUAACCUAGGAAUUGCAUUUCAGACUGGGUAACUAGAGUACUUUAGGGAGGGGUAGAAUUCCACGUGUAGCGGUGAAAUGCGUAGAGAUGUGGAGGAAUACCGAAGGCGAAGGCAGCCCCUUGGGAAUGUACUGACGCUCAUGUGCGAAAGCGUGGGGAGCAAACAGGAUUAGAUACCCUGGUAGUCCACGCUGUAAACGCUGUCGAUUUGGGGGUUGGGGUUUAACUCUGGCGCCCGUAGCUAACGUGAUAAAUCGACCGCCUGGGGAGUACGGCCGCAAGGUUAA
rnacentral:rRNA from 1 species